CAAGAUGCACCAUUGCACUCCAGCCUGGGCAACAGAGCAAGGCUCCAUCUCAAAAAAAAAAACAAGAAAGAAAGAAAUUAAACACCCUAUGAAGAAGAAAUUUAUAUAUCUUAGAAUUUUUUCUUCCAAAGGGAUUAUUUCAGCUUUUCAGUAUCAAUUGAGAAUAUUUAGGUAGACAUUUUUCAUUAGUGUUUUUAAUACAGAAGAAACAAUAUGAGAUUUUUCAAAAUCCAUCCUUUUUAAAGUAUUGAACUGUGAAUUAUUUAUACAAUUUUUGGUUUAGAAGUAAAUAUUGGAAAAUGAAUACCUAAAUGUAUAUAAGCUGUAUGUUAAGUUUCUGUUUGGUAACUAUUAUUUAAAUAUGAAAAUAUGUGAAUAUAUUGCAGUAGAGCAG